rnacentral:rRNA from 1 species
UACGUAAGUGGCAAGCGUUGUCCGGAUUUAUUGGGUUUAAAGGGUGCGUAGGCGGUCCUUUAAGUCAGUGCUGAAAUACUCCAGCUUAACUGGAGGGGUGGCAUUGAUACUGGGGGACUUGAAUGAAGUCGAGGUAGGCGGAAUUGACGGUGUAGCGGUGAAAUGCUUAGAUAUCGUCAAGAACACCGAUAGUGAAGACAGCUUACUAGGCUUAGAUUGACGCUGAGGCACGAAAGUGUGGGGAUCAAACAGG